rnacentral:rRNA from 1 species
CCUACGGGUGGCAGCAGUGGGGAAUAUUGGACAAUGGGCGAAAGCCUGAUCCAGCCAUGCCGCGUGUGUGAAGAAGGCCUUCGGGUUGUAAAGCACUUUCAGUGGGGAAGAAAGCCUUGGGGCUAAUACCCUCGAGGAAGGACAUCACCCACAGAAGAAGCACCGGCUAACUCCGUGCCAGCAGCCGCGGUAAUACGGAGGGUGCGAGCGUUAAUCGGAAUUACUGGGCGUAAAGCGCGCGUAGGCGGUCUGAUAAGCCGGUUGUGAAAGCCCCGGGCUCAACCUGGGAACGGCAUCCGGAACUGUCAGGCUAGAGUGCAGGAGAGGAAGGUAGAAUUCCCGGUGUAGCGGUGAAAGGCGUAGAGAUCGGGAGGAAUACCAGUGGCGAAGGCGGCCUUCUGGACUGACACUGACGCUGAGGUGCGAAAGCGUGGGUAGCAAACAGGAUUAGAUACCCGUGUAGUC